AAAUUGAAGAGUUUGAUCAUGGCUCAGAUUGAACGCUGGCGGCAGGCCUAACACAUGCAAGUCGAACGGUAGCACAGAGAGCUUGCUCUCGGGUGACGAGUGGCGGACGGGUGAGUAAUGUCUGGGAAACUGCCUGAUGGAGGGGGAUAACUACUGGAAACGGUGGCUAAUACCGCAUAACGUCGCAAGACCAAAGAGGGGGACCUUCGGGCCUCUUGCCAUCAGAUGUGCCCAGAUGGGAUUAGCUAGUUGGUGAGGUAAUGGCUCACCAAGGCGACGAUCCCUAGCUGGUCUGAGAGGAUGACCAGCCACACUGGAACUGAGACACGGUCCAGACUCCUACGGGAGGCAGCAGUGGGGAAUAUUGCACAAUGGGCGCAAGCCUGAUGCAGCCAUGCCGCGUGUAUGAAGAAGGCCUUCGGGUUGUAAAGUACUUUCAGCGGGGAGGAAGG
rnacentral:rRNA from 1 species